GAGUCUUGCUCUGUCACCCAGACUGGAGUGCAGUGGCGUGAUCUCGGCUCACUGCAAGCUCCACCUCCUGGGUUCACGCCAUUCUCUUGCCUCAGCCUCCCAAGUACCUGGGACUACAGGGGCCCGCCACCACGCCCAGCCAAUUUUUUAUAUUUUUAGCACAGACAGGAUUUCACCGUGUUAGCCAGGAUAGUCUCCAUCUCCUGACCUGGUGA
rnacentral:lncRNA from 10 species